rnacentral:lncRNA from 1 species
GAAAACGCUUCCAAUCCAGAGGCCUCUACUGGGGGGCUGAGGCAGCAGCGAAGCGUCCGCACAGAAAAAGGUGAAUUUACGUUUUUAGUGGAAAGAGAACGGUGACCGGCGGUCGGCGCGUCCGUCGGGAUCGAGCCUGCGAGAGUGAAGUUUUCGGCUCGCCGAAAGGGUAUGUUCGCGGAACGCUGACUGUUAGACGACACUGGAGGAACACGGCUUGUCGAUGGGGAAACGAUGGACCCUCCCAGGGGGCUACACGGUCCAGGAGAGGCAGGUCCACGCCGAUGUGCCGUUGCGACACCUGGCCCAGAGUCCAGGGGAGAAGAGAAUUUAGAACUGGAAGGAACAGCCGCCAAAUCCGGCAUUGUACAAUAAAACGAAAGGAAGUUAACAGUUAAGGUCAGUGAAAGUUAAAAGUGGUGAUAUAGCAAAACACAGUACCCAACGCCCGGGCACCGAGCCGAGAAUGGACCGGAGUCCAGAAGACCGCAGAAAGAUGGUAACCCGAGUUUCGAGUAGUGAAAAAAACCGAGGCCGGACUCAAGAUGGAUAGACCAAGUAGCAUAGAGGGGCGCAAGUUAAGAGGGAAUGUGGAAAACAAACAACGGAAGGCCGAGGAAUAGGGAGGAUCAUGUAAGUUCUACCUUGGGAUCUGGACUAGUAGAGGUCCUACAGACAUGGCGGUCAAGUCUACUCGAAUUUACGUUCUUUCACGGGCUUCCUUUUCAGCAACCACUGUUACUAAAAGAGGAUCUCCUCGUCCUCUGUUUUUGCGGCUAGUACUGAAUGCACGUCGACUCGUUUUUAUCUGAG